UACGGAGGAUCCAAGCGUUAUCCGGAUUUAUUGGGUUUAAAGGGUGCGUAGGCGGCUUAUUAAGUCAGGGGUGAAAGACGGUGGCUCAACCACCGCAGUGCCCUUGAUACUGAUGAGCUUGAAUACACUUGAGGUAGGCGGAAUGUGACAAGUAGCGGUGAAAUGCAUAGAUAUGUCACAGAACACCAAUUGCGAAGGCAGCUUACUAAGGUGCAAUUGACGCUGAGGCACGAAAGCGUGGGGAUCAAACAGG
rnacentral:rRNA from 1 species